rnacentral:rRNA from 1 species
AUGAAGCAAUCCAAUGAUUUAGUGUCUGCUUACACAAAAAACUUUGAAGAUCUAAUGGCAGAAGUACAAGAAGAAAAUCCAGAGUUGGGAGAAUUAUGGAUGCAACAAGAAACAAUGGAGCAGAAUGACAAUACUGAAGAGCAAUCUCCUCCAGAACAAGAGAAACUAACUGAAGAAGGCAAACAAGCUAUGUUUAUUUCUACCACAGUAGGACAUCAACUAGAUAUUCCAUCUCCAACAGUAAUAGUGCACAUAAAUGGAAAAAGAGUUGUAACCCUUCUGGAUUCAAGAAGUAUUGCUUCUUUCAUGAGCCAAGAUUUUGCUGUGAAAUGUAGCUAUCAACUGUUACCUAUAAAACCAAGAGUUAUUGUUGUGACUGGUGGAUGCAGACUUAUUUCUUCAGCUGUAGCACCUAACAGAGUAGCAACAAACCUCAAGAAGAUACAAGCUAUUGUUGAGUGGCCAGCACCAGACAAUGUUACAAAACUAAGGAGUUUUUUGGGUUUGGCAGGAACUACCAUGGUGUUGUUUUUGUGCAAAAAAAGUUCUCAGAUUGGAACGAAACUUUGCGAGAAUUUUUUAUACAACAAAAGAGAAUUUCUGGAGCCAAGAACCACCGGAGGGGGGCACCUGGGUGGGCACAACCCACCAUGGCGCCCCCCCUCCAAGUGCGCCAAGUUCCCAUGUUAG